GUGAACGCUGGCGGUAGGCCUAACACAUGCAAGUCGAACGGCAGCACAGUAAGAGCUUGCUCUUACGGGUGGCGAGUGGCGGACGGGUGAGGAAUACAUCGGAAUCUACUUUUUCGUGGGGGAUAACGUAGGGAAACUUACGCUAAUACCGCAUACGACCUACGGGUGAAAGCAGGGGAUCUUCGGACCUUGCGCGAUUGAAUGAGCCGAUGUCGGAUUAGCUAGUUGGCGGGGUAAAGGCCCACCAAGGCGACGAUCCGUAGCUGGUCUGAGAGGAUGAUCAGCCAAACUGGAACUGAGACACGGUCCAGACUCCUAAGGGAGGCGGCAGUGGGGAAUAUUGGACAAUGGGCGCAAGCCUGAUCCAGCCAUACCGCGUGGGUGAAGAAGGCCUUCGGGUUGUAAAGCCCUUUUGUUGGGAAAGAAAAGCAGCAGGUUAAUACCCCGCUGUUCUGACGGUACCCAAAGAAUAAGCACCGGCUAACUUCGUG
rnacentral:rRNA from 1 species